rnacentral:lncRNA from 1 species
CCCCGACUCACCCUCUGUGGAAGGGGGAAGUAAAGAGCAGGUAACCAGAGAGGAUGAAGCAGAGGUGGACGCAGUAGACGAAAUGAUGGCAGAUGUCAUGGUUCAGGCAGAUGGAGUUGCUGAAGGCGUAGCUGGUCAGGUGGAUGCCGAAGAGGCUGCAGCUUAAAGGUCUUCUGCCGGCGUCUCCAAGUAGACGAAGACUCCUUUUUUGUUUCUUUUCAGCUUUUGUAGUUUGCUUUUUUGUUUAGAAUAACUG